rnacentral:rRNA from 1 species
GUCCACGCCGUAAACGAUGAAUACUUGGUGUUGGAGGUAUUGACCCCUUCAGUGCCGAAGCUAACGCGUUAAGUAUUCCGCCUGGGAAGUACGGUCGCAAGAUUAAAACUCAAAGAAAUUGACGGGGGCCCCGCACAAGCGGUGGAGCAUGUGGUUCAAUUCGAUGCAACGCGAAGAACCUUACCUGGAUUUGACAUAUACUGGAAGACUACCAGAAAUGGUGUCGCCUUCGGGCCGGUAAACAGGUGCUGCAUGGCUGUCGU